rnacentral:rRNA from 1 species
UACAGAGACUGCAAGCGUUAUUCGGAUUCACUGGGCGUAAAGGGUGCGCAGGCGGCCAUGUGUGUCAGGUGUGAAAGCCCGAGGCUCAACCUCGGAAUUGCGCCUGAAACUACAUGGCUAGAGUACUGGAGAGGGUAGCGGAAUUCAUGGUGUAGCAGUGGAAUGCGCAGAUAUCAGGAGGAACACCUAUGGCGAAGGCAGCUCGCUGGAACGGAUACUGACGCUGAGGCGCGAAAGCGUGGGGAGCGAACAGGAUUAGAUACCCGGGUAGU